GGCUCUGUCCCAGGUCACCCUGAAGGAGUCCGGCCCUGGGCUGCUGAAACCCACCCAGACCCUGUCGCUGACCUGCACCUUCUCUGGGUUCUCACUGAGCACUACUAACUUAGAUAUCGACUGGAUCUGUCAUCCUCCAGGGAAGGCCCUGGAGUGGCUCAAAAGCAUAUGGUGGGAUGUUGAUAAGCAUUACAACCCAUCUCUGAAGAGCCGGCUCACAGUCUCCAAAGACACCUCCAUAAACCAUAUGCUUUUAACAAUGACCAAUAUGGACCCUGCAGACACAGCUAUGUAUUACUGUGCAUGA